CGACAUCUGACUGAUUCCCGGGCUUCCUGAUGAUUCGGUUGAGUUGUUAGAAUCUCCCCCAAGUGGAAGUGAGGGAGACGAAUAGUCUGGGAGACCGUACAUCAUACUGAAGUUUGACGUCAACAGAGACACAUAUGACUCAUAACCAUGGCUGACACUUCUUUACUUGAUUCAUAAAGAAACAGUCAGCAAGUGUGUAAGUCCAAGGUAUUAAAGGAAGAGUCAGUCCGCCCUGGAGGAGCAGGCGGACAGAGAGGCCCAGGCUGCUCGACGGUGGAUCUCCAGCCGGCUACACGAGAACCCCCCAGGGAGGAAACAAAGAGAAGGAGCUCGCAGAGCCUCACAAUAAACAUCAAGCCGGGCCAAGGAAAUUACAGCAUCUACGAGACGUACCCGGGCGUAGAGGUGGGCCACGGACAAGAUGACACAGGCUGGGGUGAGAGGGCCGAGUCUCUCCAGCUACAGCAGAAAAUCAAUGGUUGCGGAUGGCCUGAGCAGGCGGGGGCUAAUUUUACCCUGAAUUUUCUCUGGCGGCUAAUCCCACGACCAGGAGCUCAAGGCAGGCAGAGCCGGAGGAGGAAGAGGAGCGGGAAGAAAGGAAUGGAAGAUCUUCCUCCUCAAACGAAUAAUAUCAGCAUGAAAACAAAGUGACCACCUGAACAAAGUCUAUUUCACACAGACACUUCAAUAGGCUUCACACGCAUUGGGAGGGGGGGGGGGGGGGGGGUGUGUGUGUGUGUGUGUGUGUGUGUGUGUGUGUGUGUGUGUGUGUGACGCCCAAGUGACAGCAAGGCUCAAACACACAAUGACACACAGCCCGACACACACACAAACACACACACACUCUCUCACACACACACACACACACACACACACACACACACACACACACACACACACACACACACACACACACACACACACACACACACACACACACACACACACACACACAAAUAAUUCAAGGUCAGAUAAAUGUGUGUGGGAGAUUCUGUUGUGUUGGUGAGUAGUGGAGUUACCAAAAUGAAGCACUUUAGGUCGCAAACCUAAACGUAUUCCGGGUGAAAAUGUUUAAACCUAUUUGCGGCAAGUAUUCAGCAAAUUACAAAUAUAGGGAUAUUACUUCCAAAACCUUAAACCGAAUACUGUUACUAACUAUGAUAACUAAGAUUUGACUACUUUUUAUGAUACUUAAAAAUGAAAUACACAUUUGAUGAGGGAAAUGCCGUAUUUAAUAUGCCGUGAAGCUAAGACUAAUAAUCAAAGGAAACAGAGGCCAUUGUGAUGGGAUGGGAUGAGAGGGUGGAGAGACAUGGAAGAGAGACAGAGAGGGAGUGCGACGGAGAGGAGGAGGAGGAGGAGGACGAGAGAGGGCGGUGUUUGUGUUUUACUCAUUAAGAAAAUGAAGUGAGGGGUGACAUCUGAGCGAG
rnacentral:lncRNA from 1 species